rnacentral:rRNA from 1 species
GACGAACGCUGGCGGCGUGCCUAAUACAUGCAAGUCGAACGAGAGCGACCGGUGCUUGCACUGGUCAAUCUAGUGGCGAACGGGUGAGUAACACGUGGGUAACCUGCCCAUCAGAGGGGGAUAACAUUCGGAAACGGAUGCUAAAACCGCAUAGGUCUUCGAACCGCAUGGUUUGAAGAGGAAAAGAGGCGCAAGCUUCUGCUGAUGGAUGGACCCGCGGUGCAUUAGCUAGUUGGUGAGGUAACGGCUCACCAAGGCCGUGAUGCAUAGCCGACCUGAGAGGGUGAUCGGCCACAUUGGGACUGAGACACGGCCCAAACUCCUACGGGAGGCAGCAGUAGGUAAUCUUCCGCAAUGGACGCAAGUCUGACGGAGCAACGCCGCGUGAGUGAAGAAGGUUUUCGGAUCGUAAAACUCUGUUGUUAGAGAAGAACAAGUGCUAGAGUAACUGUUAGCGCCUUGACGGUAUCUAACCAGAAAGCCACGGCUAACUACGUG